rnacentral:tRNA from 1 species
UUAACGAAUAGUUUAAAUAUAAAAAUUUAAAUUUGAAAAGUUUAAGAUGAUUUUAUCUUCGUUGAUC